rnacentral:rRNA from 1 species
GGUGAACGCUGGCGGUAUGCCUGAGACAUGCAAGUCGCACGAACCAGUUUCGGCUGGUUAGUGGCGGACGGGUGAGUAACACGUGGGAGGCGUGCCCUCAAGUGGGGGAAAACCAGGGGAAACCCUGGCUAAUCCCCCAUGUGAACCCCCGCCCUGGCGGGUGUUUAAAGCUUCGGCGCUUGAGGAUCGGCCCGCGCUGCAUCAGGUAGUUGGUGGGGUGAUGGCCUACCAAGCCGACGACGCAUAGCUGGUCUGAGAGGACGACCAGCCACAGGAG